rfam:Ricinus communis cultivar Hale ctg_1100012355928, whole genome shotgun sequence.
ACGACCUUACUUGAACAGGAUCUGUUCUAUAGGAUCGUACCUCUGUGUCCUUUAUCACAAAGGAGACAGGAACUCACGUCUGGAAGAUGAUACAAAACCGUUUGAUCAGAGCGUGAUUAAUGGUUGAGUAUGCUCUCGGGCUUGCAACGCUGUAGAGGAUCGUUCCCAGUCAUGUAUAAUGGGUGGGAUGGUCAUUCGGUUGUCUGACAGACC